GAAUCGAUAGCGAAAAAAGGUUUAUCUGGGAAAGUUUUUGGAAACUCAAUUAGUACACAACGAGUGCUUGGGAGUGUUGCUUAAGCUAAGCUAAUGCUAAUAGAUUAACGACAAGAUGUGUAAAUUGCUUAAAUGUUGUGCUUGCUGCCUUUGCAGUUGCGCAAUGAGCUGUGUAUUUUGGAUUCUUGGAAUUGCACUAGUUAUACUGGCAAUUGGCUUAGGUAUUUACUUUGGCAUAUUCCACAAUGCCGACAAAGAUCCUGAGACGGAAGGUGAUACGUUAAAUACUUUGCUAUUACGACUGAACGAGACUAUACAAGAUACUUACAAGUAAAAAUGUGUUUUCUUUUAUGAGAUAACGAUAAGGUUACAUCUAACUCUUUUACGUAUAAAUUGUGAGAAUUAUGAAAUAAAGCGAUAAAUGGUAUGAUUACGAACGGUUUUAAGAAAUUUA